UACGUAGGGUGCGAGCGUUGUCCGGAAUUAUUGGGCGUAAAGGGCUCGUAGGCGGCGUGUCGCGUCGGGAGUGAAAGACCGGGGCUUAACCCCGGUUCUGCUUCCGGUACGGGCAUGCUGGAGUGUGGCAGGGGAGACUGGAAUUUACGGUGUAGCAGUGAAAUGCGUAGAUAUCGUAAGGAAGACCAGUGGCGAAGGCGAGUCUCUGGACAGCAACUGACGCUGAGGCACGAAGGCCAGGGGAGCAAACGGG
rnacentral:rRNA from 1 species